UACGUAGGGUGCGAGCGUUGUCCGGAAUUAUUGGGCGUAAAGGGCUCGUAGGCGGUUUGUCGCGUCGGGAGUGAAAUCCACUGGCUUAACUGGUGGCUUGCUUUCGAUACGGGCAGACUAGAGGUAGGCAGGGGAGAGCGGAACUCCUGGUGUAGCGGUGGAAUGCGCAGAUAUCAGGAGGAACACCGGUGGCGAAGGCGGGUCUCUGGGCAGUAACUGACGCUGAGGAGCGAAAGCGUGGGGAGCGAACAGG
rnacentral:rRNA from 1 species